GGGAGGUAAAUUUCUCCUAAGGCUAAAUAUUGGCGAGAGACCGAUAGCGAACAAGUGCCGUGAGGGAAAGAUGAAAGAACUUUGAAAAGAGAGUUAAACAGUACGUGAAAUUGUUGAAAGGGAAACGAUUGAAGUCAGUCAUACCAACGGGAAAUCAACCUUUUGAGCUUGGUCUCGUGGGUUUUGAAGAGUUUCAAAGCCUUCGGAUUCGCUAGAUUGGGAUCUCUUGGUGUACUUUUUCGUACGGUUAGUCAACAUCG
rnacentral:rRNA from 1 species